rnacentral:rRNA from 1 species
UACGAAGGGGGGCUAGCGUUGCUCGGAAUCACUGGGCGUAAAGGGUGCGUAGGUGGCGCUGUAAGUCGGGUGUGAAAUUUCGGAGCUUAACUCCGAAACUGCAUUCGAUACUGCGGUGCUUGAGGACUGGAGAGGAGACUGGAAUUUAUGGUGUAGCAGUGAAAUGCGUAGAGAUCAUAAGGAAGACCAGUGGCGAAGGCGGGUCUCUGGACAGUUCCUGACACUGAGGCACGAAGGCCAGGGGAGCAAACGGG